GGCGGCCAUAGCGAACGGGAAACACCCGGCCACAUCCCGAACCCGGAAGUUAAGCCGUUCAGCGCCGAUGGUACUGCAACCACGAGGUUGUGGGAGAGUAGGACGCCGCC
rnacentral:rRNA from 1 species